rnacentral:rRNA from 1 species
CGGCGGACGGGUGAGUAAUGCCUAGGAAUCUGCCUGGUAGUGGGGGACAACGUUUCGAAAGGAACGCUAAUACCGCAUACGUCCUACGGGAGAAAGCAGGGGACCUUCGGGCCUUGCGCUAUCAGAUGAGCCUAGGUCGGAUUAGCUAGUUGGUGAGGUAAUGGCUCACCAAGGCGACGAUCCGUAACUGGUCUGAGAGGAUGAUCAGUCACACUGGAACUGAGACACGGUCCAGACUCCUACGGGAGGCAGCAGUA